rnacentral:rRNA from 1 species
AUGAUGCAUAUAGUGGUACCGCACAAGGAGCUGAUUAGAGUGAAGGUUGGCGAGACCAUCGUUCCUGCGUUCGGUAUGGCCUUCUGGUGCUUCAGGCCUAGCAUAGACGUGUUCAAGCACUCCAGGCCAGUUGUUUGUGUGGAUGCAACAUUUCUUUCCGGAAGUGCAUCUAGUUACGGGCCCCACUUGGCAUCGCAUCAGGUGAAACGUGUCCCUCUGAACGUGUACCCCUGUCUGAAUCCCACCCCCUCUUCGUUCUCGGCGAUUUGGGUGGGGCCAGCGCUAGGGUUCCAGCGCCGCCGCCAGAUCAACGCCCCGCCUCCACAAGGAGAGGGGGAGCCCCGCUGGUGCCACCAAGGGGAAGAGGCUACCGCCACCACCAAGGGGAGGAGCCCCGCCGCCACCGACAGGAGGAACCUCGCCGCCAGGUCUUCAAUGCCCCACCGCCGCCAGGUAUUAUCUUCUCUAGCGUAUCUCCUUCCUUUCUUCUGUCCAUUUGUUGCCCUUCUCCACCGGCAUGCCCUUCCCUACCAUGGCACCUUCUCUAUCUCCCUCCCUCCCCUCUCAUGGUGCCCUUCUCUCCCUUCCCAUGGGACCCCUUCCCCUCCCUUCUUCAUGUGGCACCUCAUUACUCCCUAUUCUUGUGUCUUUUUGCAAAUUUGCAGCAAUCAAGCCCUAAUCCCUUUCCGCUGUUUCAGGUUGAUUGGAAUUCAGAUUUGCAAGUCUUUGCAGCAGUCAAUUAAAAAGAAGGAGCUCAAGAACCUGCGGCCGCAACUCUACUCUGCCUUCGAGUACUGCGAGAAGUCCUACCUCAACACCCACCAGAAUGUUAUGAGUGUUGGCCAAAAAGCUCUGUCAGUAGCUAACUGCCUCAUGUUCUGCUCUGUGAACUGCUAUGUGGUGCUGCUCAUGGAUGAUGGUAGGAAUUUAUGCAAAUAUUCAAAGACACAAAAUAUUGAAGUUGAUGUAACUGAUUACUUUCCCAAGACAAACAUAAACUUUGAGGCUGAAAGGAAAUCAAGUAAUGAACCACAUAGGAAUAGAAGUAUUUGA